CUACGGGCUGCAGCAGUGAGGAAUAUUGCACAAUGGGGGGAACCCUGAUGCAGCAACGCCGCGUGGAGGAUGACGCAUUUCGGUGUGUAAACUCCUUUUAUAUGUCAAGAAAAUGACGGUAGCAUAUGAAUAAGCACCGGCUAACUCCGUGCCAGCAGCCGCGGUAAUACGGAGGGUGCAAGCGUUACUCGGAAUCACUGGGCGUAAAGGACGCGUAGGCGGGCUUGGAAGUCAGGUGUGAAAUCCUACAGCUUAACUGUAGAACUGCACUUGAAACUACGAGCCUAGAGUAUGGGAGGGGCAGAUGGAAUUAGUGGUGUAGGGGUAAAAUCCGUAGAUAUCACUAGGAAUACCUAAAGCGAAGGCGAUCUGCUGGAACAUAACUGACGCUAAGGCGUGAAAGCGUGGGGAGCAAACAGGAUUAGAUACCCUUGUAGUC
rnacentral:rRNA from 1 species